rnacentral:lncRNA from 1 species
AGCCAAAUGAACAUUUGACAUUUUAAAAUUAAUUCCCGUUACAGUGACUACGUUUUUUUCUCUUAAAGUGCAGUGUUUUUGUGCACUGUAAAAGCUAUCACUAAGCUAUUACUAAGUUGUAACCACCCAUAAAGAAAAUACUGUAGUCAAGCUUGAUGUUGUAGAAGAGCCAAGAGGGCAUUGAGAGUCACACGCUGGAAGGAACAAGGAAGCUCAUUAACACUGAAAGUCUCCAUCAGACUGAGGGAGCUAAGCAUCAGUGUACUUUACAAUUGGAACUGAGGUCCUGCUGCUGAUGGGAACUUUGCACCAAAGAAUUAGCUUCAGACACACACUUGCAGGUACCUUUACAUAAACUCAAGGGUCCACCUCGGUAGACUGCAUUGGGGUGGGUUCUUGGGCUGCUGAGUUCCAG